ensembl:snRNA U6 U6 spliceosomal RNA
GCACUCGUUUCAGUAGCACAUAGACUAAAACUGGAAUGACACAGAGAUUAGCAGUCCCCUGUACAAGGAUGACGCACAAAUUCACGAAGCGUUCCGUAUUAAA